AUACUCCAGUUUCUCUUCAGAUUGCAUAAAUCUUUUACCUUUUAUCAAAGAUUUCCAUGGGGAGGAACAUGAGUUUUUAACUAAUUUUUUGAUGCUUUGUUUUGGUAUGGUU
ensembl:snRNA U5 U5 spliceosomal RNA